CAGAGAACUGGAAGGAAAGGUGGCCAAAGAGCUGUUGGCUUUGGGGAUGACCAGUGAAAUAGUAUCUUUGAUGAGGGACCAGGAGACGAUCUAAGCUGCCAUGCCCAUCAAUGGGGCUCUGGCAAAGACCUUACCUCCAGCCUCACCUCUAGCCUGCUCACCAAUGGUCGUCGAUGGGGAGACCAGAAUUGAAUGCAUCUAUGGAGCCAGCACUUGCAGACUUGCAAGAUGAUGUGAUGGAGUCCUGACCGACAGACAAACUUGAUACUGACGUCUGUGAAUAGAGAGACCUGGCACAAGGCAUAAAAAUUUGACUAGACACAA